ensembl:lncRNA
CUCACCGAGCACUAAUCAUACAUGAUGGCCUCUCUGAGCUAACCCUGAGCCCAUGGCACUGAUGGCUUUGGACAGAAUAACUACCACAGCAAUAAACAUCCAUCUGGCUAUAUAAAAUGGAACUAGAAACAAUAAUAUAAGCGUGCUAUUUAAAAAGUAACGCAGAGUCCUUUCACUCCGUGGAGUUCUCUGGCUUCCUAAGCAAAUGGACGGAUUAUAACAAGCCAUUGUGUAUUCUUUUCUGUUUGUCAGUGACCUAGUUCCAGUACUGUCUGCGAUACUUGAAUGAGAAACUAAAGCUUGGGGGUAGAUCUUCAGCAGGAGUAACUCACCCUGCUCACUGUACAACACAUCGUGGGCACAAAGCGUCUUCCAGGGAAUACGCAGCACUCAGAAAGGUUCAUUCCUCAGCCUGAACAAAGUGAGGAAGAAAGAUGCCUUGCAACAUCAGCAAACAGCUGUCACUGCUUACAUCUAUGCCAUGGAAUUAUACAUUUCCAAAGAGACAAAUCCGAAGAGGAAGAAGAAAUGGAAUUUUGUGGGGCAGUCCAAGAGAGGCAGAUAUCCUUCUGAGAACAAGGAGAGGAAAGCCAGCCUGUGCCUGACCGCUGAGGGAUGCUUCUGCCUGUACCUACAAACUGUGUACCCAGAUGAGGAGCUUAAAAUGUGCCACCGCAUAUUUUGGUUAUUUCUGAAGCACAUAUUUUCCUGCAAAUGCAGUCAUUCUUAAUCAAUAAUUAUGUGAAUAACUGGGGUCUCACAAGGCUGUAAGACAAUAAAACAUGUUUCCAAACUAAAUUUCUGCUUCAUUCUUAGGUUAUGCACUGCUUAUCUUGCUCACAUUCCUACAUUUUAUACACAUUGCUCAUUGGAUUUGCUGUUCACUUGUGCUACAUGGUCCACUUUACACGGAUGUAACAACACAAUCGUUUGUAAAGAUGAAAGGGUUUUUUUUUUUAAUGAUCAAAAAGAACAUAUUAGAAGUAAAUUUAUUUUCAGAAUAAAAUCCUGUCUCAUAGAGAAAGCACAAUGAAUGAAUUACAAGUUUCAUAAAGCCAGCUGCUGAAGCACAGAAAAGAAACACACACACACAAAAACCCAACAGAAAACAGCAGAGCAUUUCAGCAUCAAAAAUACACCUAUCCCAAAGUCUCUGUAUCUCACAGUAAUUUUUCUCAGUAGAAAGAUGAGCCUGUAAAAUCACAGUUCUUUUCAAAACAACCACAUAACACUUUUUUAAAUGACACUUUUUAAUCUUAUGCAUUUUAUAGUCCAUUCUUUGAAACUUCCUCCUUCCAUUAUCUACAGGCAGAAUCAUUUAAUUGUGCUGGCAAGUUUACUUCUUUCGAAUUAUUAUUUUUACCAUGAUUAUGAAGAGGAAGCUAUCUGACUGUAUGCUGGAGCUGCUGCAUUCAUGGCUUGUAGACACCUGUCUGAUAUUGAAAUUAAUUUCCAGUAUAAAACAGUUAACAGAAUAACCCUAGAUAAAGGCAAGAGUAAUAUUAAUUUCAGUCUUUUUGUUGGCAAUGUUGUAAAGUCCAUUGCUCAAGUAAAGAGCACUUUCCUGAGCCAGAUACAAAUUAAUUUCACCAUUCUUCUUCAAAUAAGAGUUUUAAAAGUCAACUAAAGGCUACAACAGCUUUGAAACACGUCGGUGAUUGUUUUAAUUACCUAUCAUACAGCUGUGAGAUAUUGAAAAAGAGAGGGGUUGGGAGAGGAGGGAGAGCAACACCUGGCGUAUGAACAGUUGCUUUCCUGACAUAAAGAAAAAAAAUAGUUUCCAAGCAUUUAGACCAGCCAAAAGCUCAGCAAAGUCACCACAGAUUCUUUUGUCAGUACUUUAAUGCAGUAUUUUUAUGCCAUAAUACAUGUUCUUUUUCUAUCAAUAGCUACUUUGACUGUUAGAUAAAACUACUGAAUCUCCAAAUAUUAAACAUAUGAAUCCUGGAAGCUCUUAAAUCUUGCUCUUUAGACCGAAGUUGCUCCACAAGCUACAAUAAGUUGCUAAAGGCACACAUGGGCUUCUUCUUAGGGUCUCUUUCUAUUGGAAAAAGCUGAUGGCAAUUUUACAUGCAACCACAAAAAAAGGCAUAUUUUUGUCAUUUCAACCCUUAACAGAAACGAGAUCUAGAGGCUGCCAGGACAUCUGAUGGCCUUUGACAUUCUGGCUUCCAGCCUCUCAGCCAUCAGUCAGUGCUGAGGUAACAAAAGACCACUAAAAUGUACAGUUGUCAUCUCCACGCUACAUCUGUUGGCCAUGCUGCUAGGAAGUGUUGACCCCAUCAUUUCACCGUAAACACUGCCGAAAUCAACAACAACAAAAACAGAAAUGAAAAAGGAAACUGGAUGUCAGAAGUCAGGUCAGAGCAUUUUAUUUGCACAUGUGUCAGUAAAGAUAGAAGGAAUCGCUGAAUUAAAUUAAAUCAAAGCAAACCUGCUAAUUAAAACAGCUAAAAUUAUGUUUGUGAAGAUGUGUGACUGGUUUCCUGCUUAUCUGCAAAUAAGCCUCCCCAUAAUAUAAACAUGUUUCCAUCUCCACUUCAUUUAUAAUAAGUCUUUAGGCAGAUUGUAAUUAGUAUUUUGAGUUUCUAAUAGAAGAGCUACUGUGUUACGGGAGAAAUAUUUUUCCUGACCAUCAGAACAUUUAUUAUUUCAGCUCUGCUCUCAAGGGUUCUCACCUGUUCUUCUCAUGCUGGUCAAAGUCUCGUAUCCAAUUUGUCUGAAUCAAAUUGUUUGGGUGUGUGUCUGAAUAACAUCAUCUUCAUAAUGUAUUGCUUGGAGUUAGCCACAAAUGCAGACAUUGUAUUCAGCUCCACCUACAAGCCAAACCAGAAAUUAUUACCAGUUUUACUUGGAUUUAUUCUGUAGUUCGCUUUUCAUUCAACA